rnacentral:rRNA from 1 species
CCUACGGGAGACAGCAGUGAGGAAUAUUGGUCAAUGGGCGGGAGCCUGAACCAGCCAAGUCGCGUGAGGGAAGACGGUCCUAUGGAUUGUAAACCUCUUUAGGCGGGGAGCAAUGCCGGGCACGUGUGCCCGGAGGGAGAGUACCCGCAGAAUAAGCAUCGGCUAACUCCGUGCCAGCAGCCGCGGUAAUACGGAGGAUGCGAGCGUUAUCCGGAUUGAUUGGGUUUAAAGGGUGCGUAGGCGGAUUUUUAAGUCAGCGGUAAAAUGUCCGGGCUCAACCCGGGCCGGCCGUUGAAACUGGGGAUCUUGAGUGGGCGAGAAGUAUGCGGAAUGCGUGGUGUAGCGGUGAAAUGCAUAGAUAUCACGCAGAACUCCGAUUGCGAAGGCAGCAUACCGGCGCCCGACUGACGCUGAGGCACGAAAGCGUGGGGAUCGAACAGGAUUAGAUACCCCGGUAGUC